AAGGAAUGAAUGGAUUAUGUCAAUAGGUCUGUACUAAGGAGUGAAUGGAUUAUGUCAAUAGGUCUGUACUAAGGAAUGAAUGGAUUAUGUCAAUAGGUCUGUACUAAGGAGUGAAUGGAUUAUGUCAAUAGGUCUGUACUAAGGAGUGAAUGGAUUAUGUCAAUAGGUCUGUACUAAGGAGUGUUUUAUUGCACAUUAUACUAGAUGUCUAGGGCCUAUUGAGCAAUGGCUUUAAUGUAUAGAUUUAAAUGAAUGGAUUGAAUGUGUAGCCACGGAGGCACUUAGGCAGCACUCUAUGAAACACAUGGCAUCAAUAAUAAAGUUCUCUGUUAACCUCCUCUUCUCAGCUAAUACUGUGAGACUGAAUGUCUCUGCUCCAUUCCCCGGCUCAGCCCCGUGCGUGUGCGUGUGCGUGUGUGUGUGUGUGUGUGUGUGUGUGUGUGUGUGUGUAUUACAAGCACAAAGCUCAAAUGGAGGAUGGCUUUCUUUGUGUGUUGUUCACACUAGGCCUGAUGCUGGGAAAAUGUUGCCAUUUUGAAGUUCACACUAGGCCUGAUGCUGGGAAAAUGCUGCCAUUUUGAAGUUCACACUAGGCCUGAUGCUGGGAAAAUGCUGCCAUUUUGGUUUGGUCUGAGUUUUUUGUCAGUGCUCAGUGGCUGGGUGUCGAUAGGGGUGUCGUGGCCUGUCCUCCCCACUCCAUAACAACCUUCCUGCCGCAGCAUCCCCCACACACACACACACACACAAUGACUGUAAUCAACCGCAUCAAACACAUCCUGUCACAGGGACGGUGUGUUUCAACGUGAAAGAGAGACGGUGUGUGUGUGGCUUUUUUUUUUUGCUUGUGCUCUUCUAACUAUUCUUCAAAUAUCUUGUAGUAUUUUUCAAAUGUCAAAAUAGUAACAGUGUAUUAAUAUUUAUUUCUUGCCUGCGUGUGUGACAG
rnacentral:lncRNA from 1 species